CAGUAGCCACGGUAAUACGAAGGGGGCUAGCGUUGUCCGGAUUUAUUGGGCGUAAAGCGAGCGCAGGCGGUCAAUUAAGUCUGAUGUGAAAGCCCCCGGCUCAACCGGGGAGGGUCAUUGGAAACUGGGAGACUUGAGUGCAGAAGAGGAGAGCGGAAUUCCAUGUGUAGCGGUGAAAUGCGUAGAUAUAUGGAGGAACACCAGUGGCGAAGGCGGCUCUCUGGUCUGUAACUGACGCUGAGGCUCGAAAGCGUGGGGAGCAAACAGGAUUAGAUACCCCAGUAGUCCCUGUCUCUUAUAU
rnacentral:rRNA from 1 species